CUUUAUCUCCUGUCUGGCUCUGCUGAUAAACUAAACUGCAGGAGAAAUCUAUACGCACAUGAAACCAUCCAGGGCAAUAGAUGUACAAAACGUGUCCAAAAAAAAUGCAUGUAUCUAUCACGAUGCAUCUGACCUGAAAAAAUUGUCAGAAAACUACAAUCAAGGAAAAACAACUCCACCUCCCUUUCAGAAUGUGGGACGUGACUGUUUCAGGCCAUGUUUUGUCUGGGAGUGUCCCUCCCCAUCUGGUGAACACAAUGAGGAUUGUGUCUCAGGUAUCUUGAAACUAUUUUGCUACUGUUGGCCAAUUUAGAGGGGAAAAGCCAUGCACAAAAGGGUCUAAGUGAUUUGGCUCCAUUAGCUAUGAUUUAUGAAUCCUAAUUCCCAGUUUACUAAUCGCAGGAUCACACAAUGGCCGUGACUCCAGAAAUUGCUUAAAUAUGUUCCUCUGCUCUACUGGAUGUUAAACGUGCUUAAAAAUAGAUCGUAGAAUGGCUUGAAUUGGAAGGGACCUCAAAGAUCAACAGGUGGUCCAUUUUUGAAUGAGGAACAUCCUCAAUUUGGGCUUCUUAAAAGCAAGCUAGGUUUUAUAUUACUUGGAUUUACCCUUUGCUUUGUGUUUACCUGCUCUGAGGAGGGAAGUGUUCGGAGAAAGGAGGCAGAGCUGAAGUCUGAAAAAUUCUGAAGUUUUGAACACUCUCUGCUCAAAGUCCUCCCAUGAGAUGGGGGGCUGCAGGAGCUGCCACGCGGGGUCUUCUGGCCAGUGGGUCUCAAUGAAGUGCUCAGGGUCGGUGAGGAAGAAGAAAUCAUCAUGCCUGCAAGGGGAGAGAAAAGGAUGUCAUGGAGGGAGCAAGAAAACACUUUGCAUCCAGGGCACUGAUAAUGAUGUACCUCUGUAUGAGAAGUGAGGUUCCCCCACACCAUCAGAGUGGAACCAACAUCAGGAAGGGCCAAGCUUUUGUUUAGGCUUUCCAGAUUAACUGUGUUACAGUACUUAGUAAUUUUGCUUUCCACGUACCCAGUCCUGUGACCUCUUCCAAGAGUUUACCCAUCUUUUGUUUUGUUUAGAAGAAAAAACGCAUCACAAUUUGAACGUGCUCAACCUGACCUUCUGGGUACCACCUCUGCUUAGGUAUCUGUUGAGUGAGUCAACCUUCACCCUUGUGUUGGGUUUGUGGUGGGAAGCCUUGUUGUGUCUGUUGAUCUGAUGGUUCUGAGAACACUGACAUUCACCCUGCCCAGCCAGAUCCAGGACCAGAUCCCCGAGGGGAUGGACCCACAAGAAGCUGUUAUCUCUGCCUGUUGCCAUAGGUGAUGUUUUAGUCUGCUUCUGCUCAGUUAAAAGCAGCCCAUACUCCCUGGCGUUAUAAACUGUUCUCAGCAAGAUAAUUACCUACUAGAAAUUCCACAAUUAUUUCAUUAUGCAUUAUUAGGGAGAAAAAAAAAGAAUUAAAAAUGUCAAUCCCAUAAUGUAGUUAAUGGAAAUUAUUAAAUUGUAUAAAUAACCUCUGUGAGAGUCAUUAUUGGCUUAGCAUGGGCUAAGAAAUCUCAAGUAAUUAUGUGUGGAGCCACAUCAGACCAAAGUUUCUGUAAAAACAAGGAUUUGUUAUGUCAAAAGUGACGCUGGCCACAAAUAAAAUAAGUUGGUGGGGAGUGGAGGUGGUUAUCAUCCGAGAAGUUGCCACUACAGCUCAGGGAGUAAGGAUUUGGAUGUAGUAGGUGUUUAUGUGUAGACUGUCUAUUUUUGCACAGGGUUCCCGAGCAACCACUGUGGUUAAAAGUGGACCAUCUGCAAGCAGUAUCUGGGGAUGCACCUGAAAUGAGAGCUCAAGACCUGGCAAAUCUGUGCCUGCACCCCAGCAGGCAUCCAGGAGCCACCACUGUCCUUCCAGCUGCACUGCGUUCCACAUGUGGCUGCUCUUCUGCUGCUGGCACCACUGACCUCCACGGGCACACGGGCCUCGGCUGAACCCUGGGAUCUCCACGCUGCUCAGACCUGCCUCCCUGCCAUGGAGAGACAACAGGGAGAGGUAACAACACACCAAACACUGCUUGGUACCUGCUUUUUGGAAACCAGCCCACCCUCCGUGGUAAGUACAGCCUCCUUAAAGCCAAGGCCCUGCUCUGCUUGUGCCAGAUGUUGGCCAACUUCAACAACCCCCCUGCUCGCUCCAAACCCUUGUUCCUCAUAUCUUUGAUUGUGGUUGAUUUGCCAAACUCGUAUCUGCUCUUCCACCCAAGCAGAAAAGAAGGGAGGCAACUUCUGUGCCCAAAGACAUGGUGGGGAAAUGGUUUCAGCAUCUGCUGGAGUUCAAAAGUAUCUGAAUAGUGCUCUCAGAUACAUGGACUGAUUUUUGGGGGGUCCUGUGUGGAGCCAGGGGUUAGACACAGUGAUCCUUACUGGUUCCUCCCAACUUGGGAUACUCUAUGAUUCUAUGCCGGUUGUGGGGUAGCGCCCAUCCUAUCUUAAUGUUCCCCUCUCAUAUCUUCAAGGCAGCAGGAGAAGAAAGCCCAAGGCGAGUUUUACCUGCACAUUUCCCAGCAUAAAUGAGCAUAUCCAGAACACACGGCUCUCCCCGUCUGCAGGACCUGCUCUGGCAUGUGGAUCUUCUGAGAGAACCCCAGGAAGCCAUCCACAUCAUAUUCUAGGAAAGGGAGAAUACCACCCAAUUUCAGGCUAACGACACGAAGAGCCAAAAUCCAGGAGGUUGCAUUGAAGGAAAGGGCUCUCAGCCCCACCACAUGACUGUGAAACAGUGGGACCAGACUUACCAAUGUUAUGGCAAAGCCAGAACCAUAUGGCCCGCACCAUCUCCAGUUUGCUCUGGGAUUUGGCAGUGAUCAGGGGAACGAUGGCCUGGACCGACAUCUUGGUGUGCCCCGAUUUCAGCUGCAAUGGAGAGGACAGGUGAACACUUGAACCAGAAAUGAGUCAAAAGCACAAAAUCUCCUACGGAGACUGGGCACGUUCUGCUUCAUGAGCUCCCAGCACUGGCACCUCACAACAGCAAAGAUGUGUUUGAGGUGACCCUAAAAGCCACCGCCUCCUGGCACCAAUCUGUCUCAAAAUCCUUUGAAGCUCGGGUAAGUAUUUAACUGACAUCACUGAGUUGGAUCUGGUAUUAUUGUGCUGGAAAUGUCAGGUUUCUGCAAAAUGAAGGUGGGUUUGUGUUGGGGUGGAGUGGGGAAACACAGCCAAAAAUUAGAGUGCACACUGUCUUAGUUGCAUUUCCACACUUGGCUACCCUGCUGCAUAUCUUCCACAGGGAGGUGGUGGAGUCACCAUCCCUGGAGGUGUCCAAAAACUGUGGAGAUGGAGCACUGAUGGAUGUGGUCGGUGAGCACAGUGGGUUGGGUUGGACUUAGACUCAGGGAUCUUAGAGCUCUUUUCCAACCUCAAUGAUUCCAUGAUCUUACCAUGAGCUCACUGUGGUCCCUUGUAGUGUUUCCUGAAAAUCUGGGAAUACAGCAGUAAGAUCAUUUUGGAUGUUAGUUAUCUAGCUUGGGAUGUAGAAAGUCACCACAGAACCACAGAAUAACCUUGAGUAUGAAGGGACCUAUGGGCAUCAUUGAGUCCAACCCCUGCCUAACCAUGGGUCAACUGAUACACAGGGAGAUGCUAAGGUUGCCUGCAGGUCUACCAGAAACAAACUGCCCACACUUCUACGUGCAGAGAGACAUAAUUCCCCAAGGUGUAUAACGGCAAAUAAGCAUCCCAGCUGCACAGGCAGUGCUCACCAUGUCAUGUCUUCUAAUCCUCCACUGCUUCUUGACUGCUUUUCACUUAUUGUAGUCAUGUCUGAGAUGGAGCGAGCAGUGCAGGCUGUUAGAAGAAGUGUACUUCCAGAAAUACAUUGCUUUUGUUUAUUUUCACUCAUCCCUGCUUUGCAAGGAUGGAGUGUGUGGGAAGGACAAAUGAUCUGUCCUUGCAGAUUUAAAUAGAGGAAGAAAAUAAAUGGUAUUUGAAUAUAUGGUCUUGCUUGAAAAUGAGAAAAAAAUGGAUUUUGAGCUGAGAGAUGGCUUUGCAAGGAAAAUGCCUGGUUGCCAGACUCUGGCACAUCCUUCAGCCAGAAGAAAGCUCUGAGAUGAG